GUCGCGGGGGUGGGCGGG
rnacentral:miRNA from 1 species